rnacentral:misc_RNA from 1 species
CCAAUAGCGUAUAUUAAAGUUGUUGUGGUUAAAAAGCUCGUAGUUGAACCUUGGGCCUGGCUGGCCGGUCCGCCUCACCGCGUGCACUGGUCCGGCCGGGCCUUUCCCUCUGUGGAACCCCAUGCCCUUCACUGGGUGUGGCGGGGAAACAGGACUUUUACUUUGAAAAAAUUAGAGUGCUCCAGGCAGGCCUAUGCUCGAAUACAUUAGCAUGGAAUAAUAAAAUAGGACGGGUGGUUUUAUUUUGUUGGUUUCUAAGACCGCCGUAAUGAUUAAUAGGGACAGUCGGGGGCAUCAGUAUUCAAUUGUCAGAGGUGAAAUUCUUGGAUUUAUUGAAGACUAACUACUGCGAAAGCAUUUGCCAAGGAUGUUUUCAUUACUCAGGAACGAAAGUUAGGGGAUCGAAGACGAUCAGAUACCGUCGUAGUCUUAACCGUAAACGAUGCCGACUAGGGAUCGGACGGUGUUAUUUUUUGACCCGUUCGGCACCUUACGAGAAACCAAAGUGUUUGGUUUC